rnacentral:rRNA from 1 species
CCCCAUAUAGACCCCUUUAACUGUACUGAGAACUUCUAUAACAUUAUAGAACCUUUUAUGCUAAAACUAGUAACAAGAGUCAACCCCUCUCUACAAUGCAACUACAAGCCAGCAAGAACCCACCACUGGCAACUAACAGAUCUAAACAAGAGUAGCAACUAUACCAGAAAACUCUACUUUACUCACUGUUAACCUUACACUAGAGCAUUUCAAGAAAGAUUAAAAGAAAAAGAAGGAACUCGGCAAACUUUAGCCCCGCCUGUUUACCAAAAACAUCGCCUCUUGUCCAUAUAAGAGGUCCAGCCUGCCCAGUGACUCUUGUUCAACGGCCGCGGUAUCCUAACCGUGCGAAGGUAGCGUAAUCACUUGUCUUCUAAAUAAAGACCAGUAUGAAAGGCAUCACGAGAGCUAAACUGUCUCCUUUCCCUAAUCAGUGAACCUAAUCUCCCCGUGAAGAAGCGGGGGUUAUUAUAUAAGACGAGAAGACCCUAUGGAGCUUUAAACAUCACAACACCUGCCUCACACUUUUAUCUACCCAGGUAUACCCUCUCACAGCACGCUGAUUGUAUGUUUUUGGUUGGGGUGACCGCGGAGAAAAACUAAUCCUCCGCAAUGAAAGGGAUCUUCCCUAAACAAUAAGCCACAACUUUAUGUAUCCACAAAUUGACAUUCAUUGACCCAAUACAUUUGAUUAACGAACCAAGUUACCCUAGGGAUAACAGCGCAAUCCACUUCAAGAGCCCCUAUCGACAAGUGGGCUUACGACCUCGAUGUUGGAUCGGGGUAUCCUAGUGGUGUAGCCGCUACUAAAGGUUCGUUUGUUCAACGAUUAAAACCCUACGUGAUCUGA